rnacentral:tRNA from 5 species
CGGGGCGUAGCGCAGCCUGGUAGCGCACCUGCUUCGGGAGCAGGGGGUCGGAGGUUCGAAUCCUCUCGCCCCGACCA